GUGUCAGCCGCCGCGGUAAUACGUAGGGGGCAAGCGUUGUCCGAAUUCACUGGGCGUAAAGCGCGCGUAGGCGGGUUAUCAAGUUGAUGGUGAAAUCCCGAGGCUCAACCUCGGAACUGCCGUCAAAACUGUUAUCCUAGAGGUUUGGAGAGGGAACUGGAAUUCCAGGUGUAGCGGUGAUAUGCGUAGAUAUCUGGAGGAACACCCAUGGCGAAGGCAGGUUCCUGGCCAUAUCCUGACGCUGAGGUGCGAAAGCCAGGGUAGCGAACGGGAUUAGAUACCCCGGUAGUCCUGGCCGUAAACGAUGGAUACUAGGUGUUAGAGGUAUCGACCCCUCUAGUGCCGUAGCUAACGCAUUAAGUAUCCCGCCUGGGGAGUACGACCGCAAGGUUGAAACUCAAAGAAAUUGGCGG
rnacentral:rRNA from 1 species